GACGAACGCUGGCGGCGUGCUUAACACAUGCAAGUCGAACGGAGUGGCGAACGGGUGAGUAACACGUGGGUGACCUGCCCUGCACUUCGGGAUAAGCCUGGGAAACUGGGUUUAAUACCGGCUAGCGUGGGAUGGGCUCGGGGCCAAUCAGCUUGUUGGUGGGGUAAUGGCCCACCAAGGCGGCGACGGGUGGCCGGCCUGAGAGGGGGGACGGCCACAUGGGGACUGAGACACGGCCCAGACUCCUACAGGAGGCAGCGGUGGGGAAUCUUGCACAAUGGGCGGAAGCCUGAUGAAGAGACGCCGCGUUGGGGAUGACGGCCUUCGGGUUGUAAACUCAUUUCACCAUAGACGCGGUAGAUGGAGAAGAAGCACCGGCUAACUCCGUGCCAGCAGCCGCGGUAAUUC
rnacentral:rRNA from 1 species